CACUCCUACGGGAGGCAGCAGUGAGGAAUAUUGGACAAUGGGUGGAAGCCUGAUCCAGCCAUCCCGCGUGCAGGAAGACGGCCCUAUGGGUUGUAAACUGCUUUUAUCUGGGGAUAAACCUACUUACGUGUAAGUAGCUGAAGGUACCAGAAGAAUAAGCACCGGCUAACUCCGUGCCAGCAGCCGCGGUAAUACGGAGGGUGCAAGCGUUAUCCGGAUUUAUUGGGUUUAAAGGGUCCGUAGGCGGACUGAUAAGUCAGUGGUGAAAUCCGACAGCUUAACUGUCGAACUGCCAUUGAUACUGUUAGUCUUGAGUAAGGUUGAAGUGGCUGGAAUAAGUAGUGUAGCGGUGAAAUGCAUAGAUAUUACUUAGAACACCAAUUGCGAAGGCAGGUCACUAAGUCUUAACUGACGCUGAUGGACGAAAGCGUGGGGAGCGAACAGGAUUAGAAACCCCUGUAGUCCCAUGA
rnacentral:rRNA from 1 species